rnacentral:rRNA from 1 species
UACGUAGGGCGCGAGCGUUGUCCGGAUUUAUUGGGCGUAAAGAGCUCGUAGGUGGUUCGGUAAGUCAGGUGUGAAACCUCCAGGCUCAACCUGGAGACGCCACUUGAUACUGCUGUGACUGGAGUCCGGUAGGGGAGCGUGGAAUUCCUGGUGGUAGCGGUGAAAUGCGCAGAUAUCAGGAGGAACACCAGCGGCGAAGGCGGCGCUCUGGGCCGGUACUGACGCUGAGACGCGAAAGCGUGGGGAGCAAACAGG